rnacentral:misc_RNA from 1 species
AAGUCGUAACAAGGUUUCCGUAGGUGAACCUGCGGAAGGAUCAUUAACACGUAUCCAACGUUAAACCCCCCGUGAACUUUUAUUGCGAACCACGCCUUUGUUAGAAAGUAGCAAUCCCUGGUAAAUCAUCGCCGAACAGUUUUGAUUCAGGGAUCUCUGCGAAGAGAGCGGUUGUAGCGCGAGGUAAGUGGCCUGGCAUUCCUCUGCUUGUUAGUGUCUGACAGUGUCACUAGCUCUGUACGAAUGGCGCAGUCACGAUCGCUAGAGUCACCGGGCAUAGACCCCCCUAUCACCUUUGCAUGAAAACGGGCCUGCGCUUAAUUGUGCGGCCACCAAACUCGAACAACUGUUAACAAUGGAUAUCUUGGUUCUC